rnacentral:sRNA from 1 species
UAAAAGAAGAAGAAAAAACAAA